rnacentral:rRNA from 1 species
GAUGAACGCUGGCGGCGUGCCUAAUACAUGCAAGUCGAGCGAACAGACGAGGAGCUUGCUUCUCUGACGUUAGCCGCGGACGGGUGAGUAACAAGUGGAUCACCUACCUAUAAGACAGGGAUAACUUCGGGAAACCGUAGCUCAUAUCGGCUAAUAUAUUGAACCGGAUGGUUCAAUAGUGUAAGUCGGCUUUGCUGUUACUUAUAGAUGGAUCCGCGCUGCAUUAGUUAGUUGGUAAGGUAACGGCUUACCAAGGCGACGAAGCGUAGCCGACCUGAGAGGAUGAUCAGCCACACUGGGACUGAGACACGGUCCAGACUCCUACGGGAGGCAGCAGUAGGGAAUCUUCCGCAAUGGGCGCAAGCCUGACGGAGCAACGCCGCGUGCGGGAUGAAGGUCUUCGGGUCGUAAAACGCUGUUAGUAGGGAAGAACAAAUGUGUGAGUAAAUAUGCACGUCUUGACGGUACCUGAUGAGAAAGCCACGGCUAACUACGUG